rnacentral:rRNA from 1 species
UACCAGCACCCCGAGUGGUCGGGACGAUUAUUGGGCCUAAAGCAUCCGUAGCCGGUCCUGCAAGUCUUCCGUUAAAUCCAACUGCUUAACAGGUGGGCUGCGGAAGAUACUAUAGAGCUAGGAGGCGGGAGAGGCAAGCGGUACUCGAUGGGUAGGGGUAAAAUCCGUUGAUCCAUUGAAGACCACCAGUGGCGAAGGCGGCUUGCCAGAACGCGCUCGACGGUGAGGGAUGAAAGCUGGGGGAGCAAACCGG